GCGGGGCGCUGCGGGGCCGCAGGUCCUUUUGUGCCCUUCACAUUUUGGGCAAAAUCAGAACCAGAGAGCUGCAGACGCGCCAAAAGCAUGAAACCGGACUAUACAAAAAUAGUUUAGCUACAAACUUCACGCACAGCGACGUCCAGUACCGUGAAAGCGCGCCGAGAAACUGCAGUCUCCACGAUGGAUUGACAGACGCUGGUCAGUCUGGUUGUUUGGCCCGCACACAGACGGACUCCACACUGGUUUUAGGAAAUGUAGAGAGACGGAGGGCGACUGGAGUUCUUCACACCUUUAUGUGCAUCAGAACCUGCUUACGGUGUGAACUGAAGUCCUCUGGAACGGUAUCUGGAAAACAUUUGGUUUGUCAGUGUGUUGUUUUAUGCUCGUAGUGCUGUUCUUUUGUCAAUAAACAACUGAAUAUGA
rnacentral:lncRNA from 1 species